GGGGUUGUAGGGUAGCCUGGUAUCCUUCGGCGUUCGGGAUGCCGUGACCUGAGUUCGAAUCUCAGCAACCCCA
rnacentral:tRNA from 1 species